UCGUUUAGACGACGAUGAGUGGCAGGUGGAGUGUGAUAGUCGUCAUCCUCAUCUGUGAGGUCGACGAUAUCCACCAUCGCCUACCUGCUUCGGUUUGCUCCCGGCAUUGGUCCGUCAGACAUGCUAAUCGUGGAUAUUGGCAGUCGACGAACCAUAACGGAGUGUAAAUCGGAGACGAGCGAGUGUUGAAGAGACUAGCGAGUGUUGAAGAAUUGAAGAGAAGAUAACGUCUGUUCUUUUAUAAGCAUGCAGGCGAUCUAUUGGGUAAUGAUGAUACCCUCGGCCUACUAUAUGUAGCCCAAAAUUAACAACAGUGACUCAGCCCAU
rnacentral:lncRNA from 1 species